rnacentral:rRNA from 1 species
AGCGAACGCUGGCGGCAGGCUUAACACAUGCAAGUCGAACGGGCACUUCGGUGCUAGUGGCAGACGGGUGAGUAACACGUGGGAACGUACCUUUCGGUUCGGAAUAAUUCAGGGAAACUUGGACUAAUACCGGAUAAGCCCUUCGGGGGAAAGAUUUCUCGCCGAUAGAUCGGCCCGCGUCUGAUUAGCUAGUUGGUGAGGUAAUGGCUCACCAAGGCGACGAUCAGUAGCUGGUCUGAGAGGAUGAUCAGCCACAUUGGGACUGAGACACGGCCCAAGCUCCUACGGGAGGCAGCAGUGGGGAAUAUUGGACAAUGGGCGAAAGCCUGAUCCAGCCAUGCCGCGUGAGUGAUGAAGGCCUUAGGGUUGUAAAGCUCUUUUGUCCGGGAAGAUAAUGACUGUACCGGAAGAAUAAGCCCCGGCUAACUUCGUGCCAGCCACCGCAGUAAGAC